GAUGAACGCUGGCGGCGUGCCUAAUACAUGCAAGUCGAGCGAACGGACGAGAAGCUUGCUUCUCUGAUGUUAGCGGCGGACGGGUGAGUAACACGUGGAUAACCUGCCUAUAAGACUGGGAUAACUUCGGGAAACCGGAGCUAAUACCGGAUGAUAUUUUGAACCGCAUGGUUCAAAAGUGAAAGACGGUCUUGCUGUCACUUAUAGAUGGAUCCGCGCUGCAUUAGCUAGUUGGUAAGGUAACGGCUUACCAAGGCAACGAUGCAUAGCCGACCUGAGAGGGUGAUCGGCCACACUGGAACUGAGACACGGUCCAGACUCCUACGGGAGGCAGCAGUAGGGAAUCUUCCGCAAUGGGCGAAAGCCUGACGGAGCAACGCCGCGUGAGUGAUGAAGGUCUUCGGAUCGUAAAACUCUGUUAUUAGGGAAGAACAUAUGUGUAAGUAACUGUGCACACCUUGACGGUACCUAAUCAGAAAGCCACGGCUAACUACGUG
rnacentral:rRNA from 1 species